CUCCCUGACCUUCCUUAUCUUUGAUUUUGUCUCUUCCUUAUGCUUGAAUAGGUCACCAAUCAUGUACUCUAAUUUCUUUUUCUCUUUCUUCAACUCAUCCCUCUCUUGCAUCACUUUGUCCAUCUCUUGCAUUACCUCAUCCCUCUCUUUCAUUGUUUUCCCCUCUCCUGAUUCAUGAGCUCAAGCUCUUGCUUAAUCAGCUCAAGCUCUUUCUCUGCCUUAGCCCUAAAUACUUGAUGAAUAUUUGUGGCAGAUUUGUCUGAAAUCUUCUUCUUCUCUAACUCUUCCUUUAGGUCACUAAGAGCAAUCUGUUUGUUUCCUACCUGAGCCAAUGCUUGCUCUUUGUCAGCUACCAUCUUAG
rnacentral:lncRNA from 1 species